GCCCCCAUAACUCAAUUGGUAGAGUAGUUCCCUUUUAAGGAAAAAGUCGGAGGUUCGAGUCCUCCUGGGGGCACAA
rnacentral:tRNA from 4 species